rnacentral:tRNA from 1 species
AAAAGAAUUAGUUAAAGCAUAAUUUGAGUUUGUCAAAUUCAAGUUGCCUAUAGUGGCAUUCUUUU